rnacentral:miRNA from 1 species
UCGACGUUUCAGCCACACUACAUGGCUUUCAUCAGGAUCUCCACAGCUCCAGAUCCUGGAGAGCUGUGGAGAUCCUGAUGAAAGCCAUGUAGUGUGGCUGAAACAU